AUUUAGUCAGAGAUUUAUGCAAAUAUACGGUAACAUGAUUGAUGCGCUCCGGAGCAUUGCCGGAAUUUACGAAGCCACGGCAUAUGAUGUUUAUCGUCGCGACGCAAUAUGUAUGUAUAUACCGGCUGUGCUUAUGUAACGAAACGGACGUGCGAUUCGUCACACGUUAAAGUGACAACAGUGAUAUAGGCACAGAUAACAGACGAAGAAGUUCAGACGUCGCAGGUGAUCCCGCGCGAUCGCAAUCUUAAACGAUCUGUGCUUAAUUAGAGCUGGGGCGCGCGGUCCGUCCUAAUUCGGUGUUUAAUUAAUCCGUUUAUCGAUGCGGCUAAUCUCGCGAACCGGCUUUACACGUAUGAACGUCACGUGUCCGACCGAACAAUGAGUCUAUUACGGCAAAUGGAGUUUCCUGGUCGCGACUAUUGCACCUCAUUGCGGCUUCACUCAGAACGGCAGAAAUCGUCGAAUAUACUUUUUCAGAUAAGAAAAAUUGAAUCUUACGUAACAUCGAAACGAUUGGUAUGACUCGUCGUCGCGUCUUAUCGGUUUCAAUUAGUUUCUUCGGGCAUAAGCGACUCAGAUAUCUAUCUAAAUCGAAGUACAAGACAUAAAAGUCAAAUUAUAACAUAAAUCGUGGACGGAUUGCACUUCGUCGUUUGCAAUUAGUCACAACGAAGCCAAAGUACAUGACACGAGUGACGUCACAAACCUGACUCCGUGAUGCAGAAAAAUAAUUAAUAAAGACAGCGUGUGUCACGUGCGUAUAGCUAACGAGAGACGUCUCUGAUGAAACAUAAGAGGUUAAACGGAUCGGGCAAAACUGCAUACGCCUAUUCUACAUGCAGCACUCUCGUGGAUAACACAGUCUGCAAAAGUGAAGCGAGGAGAAAAUCUGGAGAGUGUGCGAGGGCUCGAAACAAGUGAGAUUUCCGUCAAGAUUUCAACGAUCUGUCGGCGGAGAGCGAGCUGAAGAGUGUCGGAGAAGCUUGGAGAACGGUGGAGAGAACAUUGGAGAACGUGGGCACGACGCCCACGCCGUGCCGCUCCGCGCACGUACGUUCAAAAAGUUCGCAGGAUAUCCCCACGCGGAAAAGGAGCACACUGCACGUCCUACGCGGACGCGAACGCGCCGGUAACGCGAGGUCGUUUGCACAAAGGGAGAUUUGCACGUGCGCUCGUUUCUUCGCGUGCGAACGGGGAAGAUUCAAGGGGAGACUCGCCCCCCAUCGACGACAGCGUGGAAGGACGGCGGACAAUGGAGCCGCGAGGAGGAAGAAGAUCUGAGUUAUGAGACGUCGCAUAAUUGCAUGCCGAUUGGUCCCGCCGUGGAAUGCAAUUUGUCUCCCAGCCCAGCGGCGUGUAUUUGCGAAAGUAAUUAAGAUGCACGCCGCGAGACGAGGUCGCAUCGGCUUGCAUGUGAAAGAUGCUUAAGAUCGGACCGACGUAGGUGAGAUUGGUGAGCGAACAAGAGGAGGUGAGGAAGGACGAAGGGAUGAGGCCAGUUGAGGUUAUUCGCCGAUGUUGUGGUAGCCACAGUUUCAAGGUCGCCGAGAUCACAGCGAGGACGUGAUCGCUGGGCCAAUCAAAAACGUGUAUCGUUUAGCGUGUUAUGCUAUUUUUUUUUUUUAAUAUUUAAUGCAUUAUCUACCUUUAUGUCGUUAUUAUUCAUGUAUGCUUUGAGUAUAUAUAUUAUACAUAUAAUAAAAAUAUGAACAAUGAGCGGAGAACAUAUAAUUUAAUCCAAUUAAUUUACUAAAGAAAUAAAAUGCAUUAUUAAUAAU